rnacentral:rRNA from 1 species
AUCAACGCUGGCGGCGUGCCUAACACAUGCAAGUCGAACGAGAAAGUGGAGCAAUCCAUGAGUACAGUGGCGACCGGGUGAGUAACACGUGACCAACCUGCCCUCGAGUGGGGAAUAACUCCGGGAAAACCGGGGCUAAUACCGCAUAACAUCGACGCUCGAAGGAGGGAAAGCAGCAAGGCGCUCGGGAGAGGGGGUCCGCGGCCUGAUUAGCUGUUGGGUGGGGUAAGAGCUCACCAAGGCGAAAGAUCGGUAUCCGGCCUGAGAGGGCAGCACGGCCACACUGGCACUGAAACACGGUCCAGACUCCUACGGGAGGCAGCAGUGGGGAAUCUUUGCGCAAUGGGGGAAACCCUGAUGCAGCAACGCCGCGUGGAGCGAUGAAGUCCCUUGGGACGUAAAGCUCUUUCGGCAGCGGACGAUACUGACGGUACGGUGGCAGAGCAGCUCAGGCUAACUACGUGCCAGCAGCCGCGGUAAUACGAGGCUGAGAGCGUUUGUUCGGAUUAUCUGGGCGUAAGGGCGCUGUGUACGGCGGUUGGUAAGUCACGUGUGUAAAUCUCCUGGCUCAACUGAGGAGCUUGCAGGCCGAAUACUGCAGUGACUCGAGUGGCGGAGAGGCAGUGGAAUUCCCGGUGUAGCGGUGAAAUGCGUAGAUAUCAGGAGGAACACCGGUGGCUGUAAGCGGCGCACUGGACCCAACUGACGCUGAGACACGAAAGCUAGGGAGCAAACAGGAUUAGAUACCCUGGUAGUCCACGCCCUAAACUAUGAUGCUUGGUGUGAGGCAGUUCCAUUCCCGUCGUGCCGAGCUAACGCGAUUAAGAUGCCGCCUGGGGAGUACGGUCGCAGGCUGAACUCAAAGGAAUUGACGGGGCCCGCACAAGCGGUGGAGCAUGUGGUUCAAUUCGACGCAACGCGAAGAACCUUACCUGGGCUCGAAAUGGAGUGGAAUGAGGUGGAAACAUCUCCGUCCGCAAGGACUGCUCUAUAGGUGCUGCAUGGCUGUCGUCAGCUCGUGUCGUGAGAUGUUGGGUUAAGUCCCGCAACGAGCGCAACCCUUAUCGUUAGUUGCCAUCGGGUCAAGCCGGGCACUCUAGCGAAACCGCCUCGGAUAACGGGGAGGAAGGUGGGGAUGACGUCAAGUCCUCAUGGCCUUUAUGUCCAGGGCUACACACGUGCUACAAUGCACGGUACAAACCGUCGCAAACCCGCGAGGGGGAGCUAAUCGGAAAAAAGCCGUGCUCAGUUCGGAUUGGAGUCUGCAAUUCGACUCCAUGAAGCUGGAAUCGCUAGUAAUCGCGGAUCAGAACGCCGCGGUGAAUACGUUCCCGGGCCUCGUACACACCGCCCGUCACAUCACGAAAGUGGACUGCACUAGAAGCCGGCGUGCCAACCGCAAGGGGGCAACCGUCCAAGGUAUGGUUCAUGAUUGGGGUG